rnacentral:rRNA from 1 species
GAGUGAAGCGGCAACAGCUCAAAUUUGAAAUCUGGCUCCUUCCGGGGUCCGAGUUGUAAUUUGUAGAGGGUGCUUUGGCGUCGGCCAUGGUCUAAGUUCCUUGGAACAGGGCGUCACAGAGGGUGAGAAUCCCGUACGUGGCCGCUGGCCUUCGCCAUGUAAAGCCCCUUCGACGAGUCGAGUUGUUUGGGAAUGCAGCUCUAAAUGGGAGGUAAAUUUCUUCUAAAGCUAAAUAUUGGCCAGAGACCGAUAGCGCACAAGUAGAGUGAUCGAAAGAUGAAAAGCACUUUGGAAAGAGAGUCAAAAAGCACGUGAAAUUGUUGAAAGGGAAGCGCUUGCAGCCAGACUUGCCCGUAGUUGCUCAUCCGGGUUUCGGCCCGGUGCACUCUUCUGCGGGCAGGCCAGCAUCAGUUCAGGCGGUCGGAUAAAGGUCCCGGGAAUGUGGCUCUCUUCGGGGAGUGUUAUAGCCCGGGGCGCAAUGCGGCCAGCUUGGACUGAGGUCCGCGCAUCUGCUAGGAUGCUGGCGUAAUGGCUGUAAGCGGCCCGUCUUGAAACACGGACCAAGGAGUCUAACAUCUAUGCGAGUGUUUGGGUGUCAAGCCCGAGCGCGUAAUGAAAGUGAACGGAGGUGGGAACCCGCAAGGGCGCACCAUCGACCGAUCCUGAUGUCUUCGGAUGGAUUUGAGUAAGAGCAUAGCUGUUGGGACCCGAAAGAUGGUGAACUAUGCCUGAAUAGGGUGAAGCCAGAGGAAACUCUGGUGGAGGCUCGCAGCGGUUCUGACGUGCAAAUCGAUCGUCAAAUUUGGGCAUAGGGGCGAAAGACUAAUCG